CCAUUUUAAACCUAUCAACGUGUAUUGGUCUUCAGUGGUUGUCCGGCCGGUGAUUCACACACAGACAAACCAGGGGCCCUUUCAAUUGGUAGCAGAGGAUGGUUCACUGACUAUCCAGACCCAACUCAUCCAUUCUUGCCCGGAGACAAAGUUCUGGUGAAACAACUGGCUGCCCGCCACAAGACUGGUCCAAUAUACCAAGGUCCAUUUGAGGUUCUAAGAGUUGCUCGAACGGCUGUCCUUACUGACCAGAGUCCACAGUGGAUACACGCCAGCCGGCUCAAGAAGACACCAGAAGGAGUCCUCAAGGAAUUCCCGGACAAACAUGAGUCUUUUGGACAAGAUGCCUUCAAAGGAAAUGACUUUGAUCAUACCCCCAAGCCUGCAAAAUAGAUAUGAGCGAUGGCUAAGAGGCUAUCCUAAACCACUUUGUCCAGAGGAUCCAAAGACUAUGCAGGACUUGUAUGAGGAAGAAUUUAUGUUCAGGGAGUAUACCAAUGAACUAGAGACUGAGGACUUGAAAGAUCAAAACUUUCCUGAACCGUUUAGUAAGCAGAUGAUUCAGGUGAAUAUGUCACCCUUAAAAAGAGAAGUGCUCUG